rnacentral:misc_RNA from 1 species
GGCCCAGACUCCUACGGGAGGCAGCAGUGGGAAUUUUCCGCAAUGGGCGAAAGCCUGACGGAGCAAUACCGCGUGAGGGAGGAAGGCUCUUGGGUCGUAACCUCUUUUAUUAGGGAAGAAGAUCUGACGGUACCUAAUGAAUCAGCAUCGGCUAACUCCGUGCCAGCAGCCGCGGUAAUACGGAGGAUGCAAGCGUUAUCCGGAAUCAUUGGGCGUAAAGCGUCCGCAGGUGGCCAGAUAAGUCUGUUGUUAAAGCAUGGGGCUUAACCCCAUAUCGGCAAUGGAAACUGUUCGGCUAGAGUAUGGUAGGGGUCAGGGGAAUUCCCAGUGUAGCGGUGAAAUGCGUAGAUAUUGGGAAGAACACCGGUGGCGAAAGCGCCUGACUGGGCCAUAACUGACACUCAUGGACGAAAGCUAGGGGAGCGAAAGGGAUUAGAUACCCCUGUAGUCCUAGCCGUAAACGAUGGACACUAGGUGUUGCCCGUAUCGACCCGGGCGGUGCCGUAGCUAACGCGUUAAGUGUCCCGCCUGGGGAGUACGCACGCAAGUGUGAAACUCAAAGGAAUUGACGGGGGCCCGCACAAGCGGUGGAGUAUGUGGUUUAAUUCGAUGCAACGCGAAGAACCUUACCAGGAUUUGACAUCCCGCGAAUUCCCUUGGAAGGGGGAAGUGCCUUCGGGAGCGCGGAGACAGGUGGUGCAUGGCUGUCGUCAGCUCGUGUCGUGAGAUGUUGGGUUAAGUCCCGCAACGAGCGCAACCCACGUUUUUAGUUGCCAUCAUUUAGUUGGGCACUCUAGAGAGACUGCCGGUGACAAACCGGAGGAAGGUGUGGAUGACGUCAAGUCAGCAUGCCCCUUACGUUCUGGGCUACACACGUACUACAAUGCUUCGGACAGAGGGUCGCCAGGCCGCGAGGUCGAGCUAAUCCCGUAAACCGAGGCUCAGUUCAGAUUGCAGGCUGCAACUCGCCUGCAUGAAGGCGGAAUCGCUAGUAAUCGCC